rnacentral:rRNA from 1 species
AUGGCGGCGCUGGGGUCCAAGCUGGCGCAGCUGCAGGCCAAGGCCUGCGAGGCGACGCGGUUCGUGGCCAGGAACGGGUGCGCCUACCACAAGACCCUCAUGGAGAAGAACAAGCAGUUCGUCGUGCAGCCGCCCACCGUCGAGAAGUGCCAGGAGCUCUCCAAGCAGCUCUUCUACACCCGCAUCGCCAGCCUCCCCGGCCGCUAUGAGGCAUUCUGGAAGGAGGCGGACCAAGUGAAGCAGCUGUGGAAAAACAGGAAAGAUCUGAACGUGGAGCACGCGGGCAUCAUCGCUCUGUUCGGCCUUGAGCUCUACGGGUGGUUCUGCGUCGGCGAGAUUGCUGGCCGGGGUUUCACCUUAACGGGCUACAGCGUCUGA